UAACCUUCGAAUAAAGUAUUUGUGGGUGAAUAAACAAACCAUUGACCCAAAAGUUCAUCUCAUUCUCCCACGAGCUUAAACGACAUAGCACUGAGGUAAUUGGCUAAUGCAAAGAGAUUAAAAAAAAAAAAAAAAACAGGUUGCACUCAUUCGUUGGGGGCAAUUACUACAUCAAUUAGGUGGACAUUGGAAAGUCGUAGAAAGACUAAACAUUGAGGAAUAUGGGAUGUACCAAAACAAGAUGGCAUUGAACCUGAUGAUGUAUUCCAACAGAAUGAAACAACUGAUGUUGUCCCAGUCAGCGUUGAAGACCCCGUCACAAUCUAACUUCAUAGGAAUGACAUUGAUCCUCAAA